GACGAACGCUGGCGGCGUGCCUAAUACAUGCAAGUAGAACGCUGAAGAGAGGAGCUUGCUCUUCUUGGAAGAGUUGCGAACGGGUGAGUAACGCGUAGGUAACCUGCCUUGUAGCGGGGGAUAACUAUUGGAAACGAUAGCUAAUACCGCAUAACAAUGGGUGACCCAUGUCAUUCAUUUGAAAGGGGCAACUGCUCCACUACAAGAUGGACCUGCGUUGUAUUAGCUAGUAGGUGAGGUAACGGCUCACCUAGGCGACGAUACAUAGCCGACCUGGGAGGGUGAUCGGCCACACUGGGACUGAGACACGGCCCAGACUCCUACGGGAGGCAGCAGUAGGGAAUCUUCGGCAAUGGGGGCAACCCUGACCGAGCAACGCCGCGUGAGUGAAGAAGGUUUUCGGAUCGUAAAGCUCUGUUGUAAGUCAAGAACGAGUGUGAGAGUGGAAAGUUCACACUGUGACGGUAGCUUACCAGAAAGGGACGGCUAACUACGUGCCAGCAGCCGCGGUAAUACGUAGGUCCCGAGCGUUGUCCGGAUUUAUUGGGCGUAAAGCGAGCGCAGGCGGUUUGAUAAGUCUGAAGUUAAAGGCUGUGGCUCAACCAUAGUUCGCUUUGGAAACUGUCAAACUUGAGUGCAGAAGGGGAGAGUGGAAUUCCAUGUGUAGCGGUGAAAUGCGUAGAUAUAUGGAGGAACACCGGUGGCGAAAGCGGCUCUCUGGUCUGUAACUGACGCUGAGGCUCGAAAGCGUGGGGAGCGAACAGG
rnacentral:rRNA from 1 species